CUUGGUCGGUUUUCGUCGGUUUUCGUGGGCGGUUGGGUGUUCGGUUCAGGUUGGCGGAGUAGAAGGGUCCCCCCCCUUCCUCCCCUGGAUUCAGUUUUGGUGGAAUUGUCAUGAGAAGGUCCGCCUCUCCUGGCCAAAGCUCAGAGGCCAGUCAGACUCCUUCUCCCCCGCCUCUGAGUCUUGAGCAGCAUCACUUCCUCCUGGACGCCUUCCCUCCACUGAGGCAGGUGCCCCCUUCGGUGCCGCCCCGAGUUCCAGCUGUCAGAGCACUUCUAGGCCAGUAGAUGUUCCAGAGAAUGUGGUAGCAGCUUCCAGGCCUUCCAGUCUAGCCCCAGCCUGUGGCCACUUCUCCUGAGCCAGGGGACGCUUACCCAGCCAGGUACAGCCUUCCAUGAAUCCCUCACCUGGGAGCUAUCUACUGUCAGCACAGAGCCUGCUUUGGAUCCUCGGUCUCCCCCCCCCCCGCCCCUCCCCAGCUUGUUUUCCUCACGCUCUCUCUCUCUCUCUCUUUCAAAAAUAAACAUUAAAAAAAAAAAAGAAUUGGUAUGAAUCCCUCACCUGGGCCUUGGGCCUCUGUUCCUAAACAGCCCCCUAGUUGUCCUUCCCUGCCCUGUGCAGAAGCGUGAAAGAGGGUGAGGGUUAGGGGACUGCAUUAAAGGAGGUCACACAAAGGGACAUUUACCUGAGAGGGUAACUACCAUCCCCACACUAAACCUUGUAGAUUUAGGAACCUGGACACUGUUUGGAAGGAUGCUGUCUUCUUAGCCUGUGAGUUCUCUUAUUUGUGCGCAGGCAGGUUGCACAUUCUUUGUUUAGAAAUAUCAAUACCUUUCAGUCCAGUCUGACUUUGGCCUAAGGCCAUUCUGACUUUUAAGGCUAAUUAGCUGCUAAGCCCAGAUUCACACCCAGGGGGCCUGACUCCAGAGGCCUUGCUCACCACCUCUGUACCCUACUGCUUUGUCGCACUCAAGUUCUUUUCUUGAAGAGGUUUAGGCUGUUAGAAAAAUGUACAUAUGUUUCUAGGAUCAAAUGCCUUAAAUCUGUCCUCAUCUUUUCUUGCCUUGAAAAAAAAAAAAAAGCUAGUUUUAAAAACAGUGAGAGACAAUGAUGAUUAAGAAGUAUUACUGUAGUUUGGGCUUUUAACAAACAGUGAUAAUAUCUGCUCAUCUUUGAAACGUAUAAAGAUAACCACUAGUAGAACAAACAGAAUGCGUCAUCUUCAAACCAGUGAACGGAUGCAUGUGUUAAGGUUCUUCGUUGCAAAAAACAGCCAACGACUCUGGCCGACUCAAGAAGAAAAGGAAUUUAUUGAAAAGCUCCCAGUAGCUCACAACAGCAACAGGAAGGCCAGAACAGCUGGCAGAGAAGAAAGGGCAGAAACCCAGGAGCCUGGGUGGCGGGAGCCCCAGGAACCAGCCCAGACGGGAUGCUGCUGUUGGCACUGUGGGCCUGGACACAUCUGCCCCUGUUGUCACGGGUCUGAGGAUCACUUGCUCCAGAUAGGAGUCCCAUGUCAGAUCAGCCAAGCUGCCUGAGGGCGAGUCAUGGGCCACUUGGUGAUGUCAGCGGUAGAGUGUCCGGAACCCUUCCAGUGUCUGUAGUGGGAGCCUGGGUUUGGUCUCUUGAUGAGAGUCAUACACUGAGGGACUCCUGGCCCACACACACACCAGGAAUGCGGUAAAUAUGCCAGGAAGCUCCCAAAAGGCAGCUCCUCUCUACAAGGAAGUCCUGGGACAGAGAAAACUUGGUGGAUCCAUUAGAGGGGAACAUGGGGAAGGAAGAGUCUGAGAAGUAUACAACAUGAGGUGGGCUCCCACAUGUCAGGACUGAUUUGGAAAUACCAUCUGACUAUGUAGCAAUAGAUGUGAAGUGCCGUGUCCUUCACAUUUUCUUUCUUUUUUUUUUUUUUUUUUUUUAGUUUAUUUAUUUAUUUUGAGAGCGUAUGCAG